rnacentral:rRNA from 1 species
AGCGAACGCUGGCGGCAGGCUUAACACAUGCAAGUCGAGCGGGCGUAGCAAUACGUCAGCGGCAGACGGGUGAGUAACGCGUGGGAACGUACCUUUUGGUUCGGAACAACACAGGGAAACUUGUGCUAAUACCGGAUAAGCCCUUACGGGGAAAGAUUUAUCGCCGAAAGAUCGGCCCGCGUCUGAUUAGCUAGUUGGUGAGGUAACGGCUCACCAAGGCGACGAUCAGUAGCUGGUCUGAGAGGAUGAUCAGCCACAUUGGGACUGAGACACGGCCCAAACUCCUACGGGAGGCAGCAGUGGGGAAUAUUGGAAAAUGGGGGCAACCCUGAUCCAGCCAUGCCGCGUGAGUGAUGAAGGCCCUAGGGUUGUAAAGCUCUUUUGUGCGGGAAGAUAAUGACGGUACCGAAAGAAUAAGCCCCGGCUAACUUCGUG